CCUGUUGACAGGAUUUUCAAAGAGCAGAAAUUUCUAACGCUGUCAUCUAUUGUCCUCAUAAACCCAAUCGGAUCUAAGCAGUGUGGGUGAGUGCCCGGGAGAUCCACUGUGCUCCAGGAUUCGCAAAGUGUGAACAAGUGGAAAACUCUGAGUCAGAAUUCACCAACAGGUCUAAAAGAUGUUAUGCUUUUCCGUUCUCUGUAGUCUCUCAAAGUCACUUGCAACACCUAAUAAAUAAUCUGCGUCUAGUCAAAA